rnacentral:rRNA from 1 species
AUUGAACGCUGGCGGCAGGCCUAACACAUGCAAGUCGAGCGGAUGAAGGGAGCUUGCUCCUGGAUUCAGCGGCGGACGGGUGAGUAAUGCCUAGGAAUCUGCCUGGUAGUGGGGGAUAACGUCCGGAAACGGGCGCUAAUACCGCAUACGUCCUGAGGGAGAAAGUGGGGGAUCUUCGGACCUCACGCUGUCAGAUGAGCCUAGGUCGGAUUAGCUAGUUGGUGGGGUAAAGGCCUACCAAGGCGACGAUCCGUAACUGGUCUGAGAGGAUGAUCAGUCACACUGGAACUGAGACACGGUCCAGACUCCUACGGGAGGCAGCAGUGGGGAAUAUUGGGCAAUGGGCGAAAGCCUGAUCCAGCCAUGCCGCGUGUGUGAAGAAGGUCUUCGGAUUGUAAAGCACUUUAAGUUGGGAGGAAGGGCAGUAAGCUAAUACCUUGCUGUUUUGACGUUACCAACAGAAUAAGCACCGGCUAACUUCGUG